UAGAGUCUGGUGUAGAAUUGGUAGCACGAAGAUUUUUGAGUUCUUAGGGUUAGGUUCAAUUCCUAUGACUCUAG
rnacentral:tRNA from 1 species